CAAUAGCGUAUAUUAACGUUGUUGCAGUUAAAAAGCUCGUAGUUGGAUUUCUGGAGAGAGCGUCGACCCGUAUUUACGAGUGCGUGACGUCUCUGUCCAUCCUUGCGGGAAGGCACGGCAUUGAUUUGUUGUGUCGGAUCGCAUCAUUUACUGUGAAAAAAUUAGAGUGUUCAAAGCAGGCUUUCGCUUGAAUACAUUAGCAUGGAAUAAUAAGAUAGGACUUUGGUGCUAUUUUGUUGGUUGAGCCUAAAGUAAUGAUUAAUAGGGAUAGUUGGGGGCACCUGUAUUGCGUUGUCAGAGGUGAAAUUCUUGGAUUUACGCAAGACAAACAGCUGCGAAAGCGUCUGCCAAGGAUGUUUUCAUUAA
rnacentral:rRNA from 1 species